GGUGGGACUGAGAAGAACGCCGUGCUGCCGUUCCGGCCACACCAGAGAAGUGCUUCCGGUCUCCGUGCUGGUGGGACUGAGGAGAACGCCGUGCUGCCGUUCCGGCCACGCCGUGAAGCGCUUCCGGUCUCCGUGCUGGUGGGACUGAGAAGAACGCCGUGCUGCCGUUCCGGCCACGCCGGUGAAGCGCUUCCGGUCUCCCUGCUGGUGGGACUGAGGAGAGCGCCGUGCUGCCGUUCCGGCCACGCCGUGAAGCGCUUCCGGUCUCCGUGCUGGUGGGACUGAGAAGAACGCCGUGCUGCCGUUCCGGCCACGCCGGUGAAGUGCUUCCGGUCCCCGUGCUGGUGGGACUGAGAAGAACGCCGUGCUGCCGUUCUGGCCACGCCGUGAAGCGCUUCCGGUCUCCGUGCUGGUGGGACUGAGAAGAACGCCGUGCUGCCGUUCCGGCCACACCAGAGAAGUGCUUCCGGUCUCCGUGCUGGUGGGACUGAGGAGAACGCCGUGCUGCCGUUCCGGCCACGCCGUGAAGCGCUUCCGGUCUCCGUGCUGGUGGGACUGAGAAGAACGCCGUGCUGCCGUUCCGGCCACGCCGGUGAAGCGCUUCCGGUCUCCCUGCUGGUGGGACUGAGGAGAGCGCCGUGCUGCCGUUCCGGCCACGCCGUGAAGCGCUUCCGGUCCCCGUGCUGGUGGGACUGAGAAGAACGCCGUGCUGCCGUUCCGGCCACGCCGGUGAAGCGCUUCCGGUCUCCCUGCUGGUGGGACUGAGGAGAACGCCGUGCUGCCGUUCCGGCCACACCAGAGAAGUGCUUCUGGUCCCCGUGCUGGUGGGGAUUGAGGAGAACACGGGUACAGCUCCACAGCUACCUUUCCCGGGCCAGAGGCUGGGCGGAUCUGCCCCAGGGAAGACCCCACAUCUGCUGCGGCGGCUGCAGUCCGGCUCCUUGAGGCUGGUUUCCUGUCCCCUCCUUCCCACUACGUCCCCUUCCCACCAAAGCAGUGACAUCAGCUCCAUCUAGUUUGAAAACAGAGGCUGGUUUGAGGGCUGGAGCCAAUUAGUUAUCACAUUAAAAUGUGUGCUAUCCCUGGGGAACUUCUUGCAAGGUUUCACUUCUUUUCUUUUUUCAAAGAAUCGCACUCUUGUUGGCGGGGACCAGCAGAAGACGGAGACGUUUUUCCAUAACCGGCUGCUGCUGUGGGAGCCGUGGGCUGGGAAUGCAGCCGAGUCUCCUCUGGGGCAUGUGGGUCUCCGAGGCUGGAGUUCUCAGACGGUGUGUGUGCAUGUGUAUGUGCUGUGGAAUCUGUGUGGAGUGUGUAUGUGUGUGAUGUGCUUCUGUGUGAUGUAUGUGUGUGUGGUGUGUGUGUAUGUAUGUGUGAGGUAUGUGUGUUGCGUGUGAUAUGUAUAUGUGUGAUGUAUGUUUGUAUGUGAUGUAUGUGUGUGGUGUGUAUGCAUGUGUGGUGUGUGUAUGUGUGUGUGAUGUGUAUGUGUGUAUGGUGUACGUGUGUGUGUAGUAUAUGUGUGUUUGUGAUAUGUAUUUGUGUGAUGUUUGUGUAUGAUGUGUGUGAUAUGUAUGUGAUAUGUAUGUCUGUGAUGUGUUUGUGUGUGAUGUAUGUAUGGUGUGUAUAUGUGUGAUGUAUGUGUGGUAUGUGAUGUAUGUGUGUGAUGUGUGGUGUGUAUGUGUGUGAUAUGUGUGUGGUGUGUGUACUAUGUGCGUAUGUGUGUGCUAUGUGUAUGUGUGGUGUGUCUAAUUCAUAGUAUGUGUAUGUGUGUGUGGUGUGUGUGAUAUGUGUGUGAUGUGUUUGCAUGUAAUGUGUGGGGUAUGUGAUAUACAUGUAUGUGUGUGGCAUGUGUGAUAUGUGCUUGUGCAUGUGUGCAGUGUGUGGUGUGUGUGUAUGUGAAUGUGUGUGGCGUGUAUGUGUGUGGUAAACAGGUGUAUGUGUGUGAUGUAUGUACACAUGAUAUGUGUAUGUGUGUAUGUGUAUUCAUAUGAUGUGUGUGGUGUGUGUGAAUGUGUGUGAUAUGUGUGUGAUGUGUAUGUGUAUAUGUGUGGUGCGUGUGCAUGUGAUAUGUGUAUAUGUGUGAUGUGUGUGGUGUGCAUAUGUGUGAUAUGUGUAAAUGUGUGAUGUGUAUUUGGU
rnacentral:lncRNA from 10 species